AAAGGAAAGGCACACAUGAAAGGACGAAAAAGAUUUCUUUCUGACCCUGUACUGCUCUCUGCUUCACUGGUUUUGGCUAGAGACACAAGUCUUGGAAGACUUCUGGUUUGAACUACUAGGAAGGUACCAGCAGAGUGGAAGGAAGGGUCAUCAUCCCACUCUUUCUUCUUAAUCCCUGGGUGAUGCUGUGAGACUGCAGAAAUACACUAAGUAGCAGGAG